GCCAGAGUGGUGUAGUGGUUUGAGCAUUGGACUACAACUCUAGAGACCAGGGUUCAAACCCCAGCUCAGCCA